UUUCACAACAGCAAUAUGGUAAAACUAGAUAUUACGGUCCAGAUUGGCGAGUUUUAAAAAAAUUGCAAGUCUUCGAUAAAGCAACAUGCAUCAUAAUAAUCAUCUUUAUGACUAAAGGUAAGAAUCAGCCACAGUGCAAAAAAAAAAAAAAAAAAAAAAUCCCUAUUCUGUUUUGACAUUCAAAGUUAAAAUAUGCAUCAGAUGAUUGUAUAGUUCAUUAAUGCCAUAUAUUUUGUUAAUUUCACAAAACUGGAUCAAAUUAUUUCGUAACAGUAGUAUAUAAAUUUCAUAAAGUUGCCAGC